rnacentral:rRNA from 1 species
AUUGAACGCUGGCGGCAGGCCUAACACAUGCAAGUCGAGCGGAUGAAGGGAGCUUGCUCCUGGAUUCAGCGGCGGACGGGUGAGUAAUGCCUAGGAAUCUGCCUGGUAGUGGGGGAUAACGUCCGGAAACGGGCGCUAAUACCGCAUACGUCCUGAGGGAGAAAGUGGGGGAUCUUCGGACCUCCCGCUAUCAGAUGAGCCUAGGUCGGAUUAGCUAGUUGGUGGGGUAAAGGCCUACCAAGGCGCCGAUCCGUAACUGGUCUGAGAGGAUGAUCAGUCACACUGAAACUGAGACACGGUCCAGACUCCUACGGGAGGCAGCAGUGGGGAAUAUUGGACAAUGGGCGAAAGCCUGAUCCAGCCAUGCCGCGUGUGUGAAGAAGGUCUUCGUAUUGUAAAGCACUUUAAGUUGGGAGGAAGGGCAGUAAGUUAAUACCUUGCUGUUUUGACGUUACCAACAGAAUAAGCACCGGCUAACUUCGUG